UUAACACAUGCAAGUCGAGGGGCAGCACGUCUUCGGAUGGUGGCGACCGGCGCACGGGUGCGUAACGCGUAUACAACCUACCUUAUAGAGGGGGAUAGCCCGGGGAAACCCGGAUUAAUACCCCAUAGUACUAAGAGACAGCAUUGUUUUUUGGUUAAACAUUUAUGGCUAUAAGAUGGGUAUGCGUUCUAUUAGCUAGUAGGUAAGGUAACGGCUUACCUAGGCAACGAUAGAUAGGGGUCCUGAGAGGGAGAUCCCCCACACUGGUACUGAGACACGGACCAGACUCCUACGGGAGGCAGCAGUGAGGAAUAUUGGACAAUGGGCGAGAGCCUGAUCCAGCCAUGCCGCGUGCAGGAAGACGGCCCUAUGGGUUGUAAACUGCUUUUACAGAGGAAGAAACACCCCCUCGUGAGGGGGCUUGACGGUACUCUGCGAAUAAGGAUCGGCUAACUCCGUGCCAGCAGCCGCGGUAAUACGGAGGAUCCAAGCGUUAUCCGGAAUCAUUGGGUUUAAAGGGUCCGUAGGCGGGACAAUAAGUCAGUGGUGAAAGUCUGUGGCUCAACCAUAGAAUUGCCAUUGAUACUGUUGUUCUUGAGUGUUUAUGAAGUGGUUAGAAUAUGUAGUGUAGCGGUGAAAUGCAUAGAUAUUACAUAGAAUACCGAUUGCGAAGGCAGAUCACUAAUAAAAUACUGACGCUGAUGGACGAAAGCGUANGUAGCGAACAGGAUUAGAUACCCUGGUAGUCUACGCCGUAAACGAUGGUUACUAGCUG
rnacentral:rRNA from 1 species